rnacentral:rRNA from 1 species
CAGCCGCCGCGGUAAGACGAACCGUGCGAACGUUAUUCGGAAUUACUGGGCUUAAAGCGCGUGUAGGCGGGCCGCCACGUCGGUUGCUGAAAUCCCCCGGCUCAACCGGGGAAGUGGCAUCGAUACGAGCGGCCUUGAGGGGGGUAGGGGGAUCUGGAACUUCCGGUGGAGCGGUGAAAUGCGUUGAGAUCGGAAGGAACGCCCGUGGCGAAAGCGAGGUCCUGGACCCUUUCUGACGCUGAGACGCGAAAGCCAGGGGAGCGAACGGGAUUAGAUACCCGGGUAGUCCCUGUCUCUUAUA